UUGUAAACUUCUUUAUCAGGGAAGAACCCUUGGAUUCACUCCGAGGCUGACGGUACCUGAAGAAUAAGCACCGGCUAACUCCGUGCCAGCAGCCGCGGUAAUACGGAGGGUGCAAGCGUUAUCCGGAUUUACUGGGUUUAAAGGGUGCGUAGGCGGAUUUGUAAGUCAGUGGUGAAAGCCUGGAGCUUAACUCCGGAAUUGCCAUUGAUACUGCUUAUCUUGAGUACAGUUGAGGUGGGCGGAAUGUGUCAUGUAGUGGUGAAAUGCUUAGAUAUGACACAGAACACCGAUUGCGAAGGCAGCUCGCUAAACUGUAACUGACGCUGAGGCACGAAAGCGUGGGGAUCGAACAGGAUUAGAUACCCUGGUAGUCCACGCCCUAAACGAUGAUCACUCGACAUUGGCGAUAUACUGUCAGUGUCCAAGCGAAAGCGUUAAGUGAUCCACCUGGGGAGUACGACCGCAAGGUUG
rnacentral:rRNA from 1 species